rfam:Lactobacillus ruminis ATCC 27782, complete genome.
GAAAAAAAGCAGAGGCUCCCGCUUCUCGCCUGAGGGACACAGGUUCCUGGGCAGAAAUAAGAAAUUAAUUUCCGAUUGAACGGAUUUUUUACGGGUGCUUUGCGUUUGGUUUAUGCGAGCACCCGUUUUUUUUCUGCAUU